rnacentral:RNase_P_RNA from 1 species
GAAGCAAGCCAGACCGCCGCUGGUGCGAGCGUGGAAACACGGCACUGGAGGAAGGUCCGGACUGCACAGGGCGGCGUAGCAGCCAACGGCUGUCCACCGCGAGGUGAGGAUCAGAGCAACAGAGACGAGUCUGGACGGGAUGUCCCUGGGAAGGGGUGUUCUGCGACGCGACGGCGAACAGCCGGCGCGCGGACGGCGCAAGCCGGACGCCCGAGGCGCAGCCGAGGGAAGCAGCCACCCUGGACUGGGCUCCGCCCCGUCCAGGGUGAAACGGGCAAUCUCUGCGCGCAGCAACACCAAAUAGGCACAUGUCGAGCGGCGCGGACGCGUCCGCGCUCAACAGAACCUCGGUCCGGGGCGAGUGUGCGGGUAGGUGGCACCGAGCCGUGGUGGCGACACCCGGCCCAGAGGAAUGGCGGUCACGCCGAGCGCUCUUUCGGGAGUGCCCGGUGCACAGAAUCCGGCCUAUCGGCUUGCUUCACAC